rnacentral:rRNA from 1 species
CGGGUGCGUAACGCGUGGGAAUUUACCCCUAGCUGCGGAAUAACUCAGAGAAAUUUGAGCUAAUACCGCAUAAUGUCGCAAGACCAAAGAUUUAUCGGCAAGGGAUGAGCCCGCGUAGGAUUAGCUUGUUGGUGAGGUAAAAGCUCACCAAGGCGACGAUCUUUAGCUGGUCUGAGAGGAUGAUCAGCCACACUGGGACUGAGACACGGCCCAGACUCCUACGGGAGGCAGCAGUGGGGAAUAUUGGACAAUGGGCGCAAGCCUGAUCCAGCAAUGCCGCGUGAGUGAUGAAGGCCUUAGGGUUGUAAAGCUCUUUUACUAGGGAUGAUAAUGACAGUACCUAGAGAAUAAGCUCCGGCUAACUCCGUGCCAGCAGCCGCGGUAAUACGGAGGGAGCUAGCGUUGUUCGGAAUUACUGGGCGUAAAGCGCGCGUAGGCGGCUCGUCAAGUCAGGGGUGAAAGUCCGGGGCUCAACCCCGGAACUGCCUUUGAAACUAGCGAGCUAGAAUCUUGUAGAGGUUAGCGGAAUUCCGAGUGUAGAGGUGAAAUUCGUAGAUAUUCGGAAGAACACCAGUGGCGAAGGCGGCUGGCUGGGCAAGAAUUGACGCUGAGGUGCGAAAGCGUGGGUAGCAAACAGGAUUAGAUACCCUGGUAGUCCACGCCGUAAACGAUGAUAACUAGCUAUUUGGUCUUUUGAAGACUGGGUGGCGCAGCUAACGCAUUAAGUUAUCCGCCUGGGGAGUACGGUCGCAAGAUUAAAACUCAA